GACUCUCGGCAAUGGAUAUCUCGGCUCUCGCAUCGAUGAAGAACGAAGCGAAAUGCGAUACUUGGUGUGAAUUGCAGAAUCCCAUGAACGCAAGUUGCGCCCCAAGCCUUCUCGCCGAGGGCACGUCUGCCAGGGUGUCA
rnacentral:rRNA from 2 species